rnacentral:rRNA from 1 species
AUUGAACGCUGGCGGCAUGCUUUACACAUGCAAGUCGAACGGCAGCGGGGUAGUGCUUGCACUACUGCCGGCGAGUGGCGAACGGGUGAGUAAUAUAUCGGAACGUACCGAGUAAUGGGGGAUAACCAAUCGAAAGAUUGGCUAAUACCGCAUACGUCCUGAGGGAGAAAGCGGGGGAUCGCAAGACCUCGCGUUAUUCGAGCGGCCGAUAACUGAUUAGCUAGUUGGUGGGGUAAAGGCCUACCAAGGCGACGAUCAGUAGCGGGUCUGAGAGGACGAUCCGCCACACUGGGACUGAGACACGGCCCAGACUCCUACGGGAGGCAGCAGUGGGGAAUUUUGGACAAUGGGGGCAACCCUGAUCCAACCAUGCCGCGUGUAUGAAGAAGGCCUUCGGGUUGUAAAGUACUUUUGUUAGGGAAGAAAAGGGAAGUGCUAAUACCACUUUUUGCUGACGGUACCUAAAGAAUAAGCACCGGCUAACUACGUG